rnacentral:rRNA from 1 species
GACGAACGCUGGCGGCGUGCUUAACACAUGCAAGUCGAACGGAAAGGCCCUGCUUUUGUGGGGUGCUCGAGUGGCGAACGGGUGAGUAACACGUGAGUAACCUGCCCUUGACUUUGGGAUAACUUCAGGAAACUGGGGCUAAUACCGGAUAGGAGCUCCUGCUGCAUGGUGGGGGUUGGAAAGUUUCGGCGGUUGGGGAUGGACUCGCGGCUUAUCAGCUUGUUGGUGGGGUAGUGGCUUACCAAGGCUUUGACGGGUAGCCGGCCUGAGAGGGUGACCGGCCAAAUGGGGCCGGGAAACCGCCCAGGACUCCUCGGGGGGGAGGAGGGGGGAAAUAUUGAAAAAGGGGCGAAGGCUGGAGGAGGAACCCCCGCGUGGGGAAGACGGGCCUUGGGGUUUAAACCGGCUUUCGCUGGUGACGAGGCGUGGGUGCCGGAAAGGGGUAAGGAAGAACCGGCUAACUACG